rnacentral:rRNA from 1 species
CNCCUUUCAGCACCGGAUCUCUUGUUUCUCUUCCCCAAAAAGAACACAACAA